rnacentral:tRNA from 1 species
AAAGUAGUAUUUUAAACAAAAAAAUUCAGUUUGCAUUUGAUUAUUAUAAUAUUGAUUAUCUACUUUU